GGGAGGGAGGGGCCCCCUCCUCUGCUCCCUCCUCUGCUUGGAGCUUCGCGGUUUGUUCGCCAAGUCAAGAGCUUUUGCAUUCUUUUGAUUUAGAACGGCAAACUUUGAUUCCAUUCAGCAGGAAGCGAGGCCCUCUGCACAUGCGUAGAGGCACGGUGCCUUUGCCUUUCUUUGGAUUAGCCGCACGAACGGAGGCUGGAGACUGGGGCCGCCUGUGCAGCAGCAGCAGCAGCAGCAGCAGCCGCCGCCCCGCCGCUGAAACUUGCCCCAGGGCCCUCCCGUCCCUUGGAGUCCGUGUGUGGUGGUCCCGGGCGGUGGACCAGCGGUCAGGAGCCCAGGGCGGUGUACUACAUGCUUAAAUUUUUCCUCACAACAACCCUGCGAAGUAGGCUAGGCUGAGAGAAAAGUGACUGGCCCAGCGUCACAACCAUCGAGUCUCAUGGCUGAACGGGGAUUUGAACUCGGGUCUCCUCAGUCCUAGUCCAGCACUCUAACCACUACACCACAAUGGAGGAGCCUUGAACAAAAAUGAAGGGCGGAAGAGGGUAUGGAGCAAUUUAACUGGUGACUUGGACUGAUUUGGCAAGUUCGUUAGUCUAAGUAGGCUCUAGCCUCUGAGGCUUGGAAUUGUGUGGGGUGAAUAAUUUGCCGGUGGUGAAAAUGCUCCGGCUGACCAGUAGGGGGCAGCAGAACUGCGUCUUGAGUAUUUCUCUCUGGUUUGCAGGGCAGAUGCUGUGCUUGUUCAAGUAUUUUGCAAAAUAAAGGCAGGAAGGUCAAGGGGUUGCUUGUUUGAGGCUGUAAGCGCUUCUCCUCCGCGGAGGAAAUAAGGAAACACGCAUGCACGCACACGGGGCGUGGAGUGGAGCAGUGGACAGGGAAUGAGCCGUUUGCCAGGAGAAGCCCAGGAUUCCAGCAGAGCCUUUGGGGUGGGCUGCCUGCCAACCUGAGCACGGGGCCCAGCCCCAUUCCUCCAACUCCGUGGGGCAGGAAGUGUUGUUUUUGCCAAGGGCUGCCCAGCCGGCCUCUCUCCUCCUGCUCUCCCUCGGCAGGCAACUGGAGCACGUAGGGAGCCUGCCUUGCAAAACCACACGGCUGCCUCCUAAUGCUCUGGGACGAAGCCGGAGGGAGGGUGAGGCCCUGGCUGAGCGCACGUGCCGUGCCCGCUCUGUUCACCAACAACACGGGCUCGAUGGGGCCCUGGGGUGGAGACGCUGGCCGGCCGGGCAGGACGGCUUGAGGAGCAGCAGGCUUCCUUCUCUGCUGUGUUGGGGAAAGGGGGAGAUUCGGGGCAGGGUAAUCCAGCAUCCUCUGAGCCCCCUGUGGGUGCCAGUUUAUAGACUCUUACAGAGUCUAUCCUGCCCUUGUACAGAUCUAUGGUGCGGCCACAUCUGGAGUGCGGCGUACAGCUUCACGGCACCACGUAUCUCCAGAAGGACAUUGUAGAACUAAAAAGGGUGCCGAAGGGGGCAGCCCAGAGGACCAGGGGCCUGGAGCACUUGCCUUGUGAGGCAAGGCUACACCUCUGGGGCUCUUCACCUUGCAAAAGAGGCAUGAUAAAGUUUUAUAUAAUUAUGCAUGGAGAGGGGAGGGUGGUCCGAGAGGAUUUUUCCUCCCUCUCGCGUCACACUAGCACCAGGGGUCACCCCAUGAAACUGAAGGUCGGGAAAUUUAGGACCGACAAGAGGAAGUCCUUUUUCACACCGGGCAUAAUUGGAGCCUCCCCAUCUGUGGCAGCUUUUAAAAAGGCACUGAAGAUGCAUUUACUCACCCAGGCUUUUCAUUAGAUUUAUGGUUUAAAUUUUUUGAAUGCUGGUUUUAAAUGAUUUUAAUGUGAAUGUUUUUAAUGUUUCAGUGAUUUCAGUUGUUUAAUUGAUUUAGUUUUGAUUUUAACUGUUAAUUGAUUUUAAUUGUUUUUAUUUGUCAUA